GUAGGGAACCUGCGGAAGGAUCAUUGUCGAGACCCGAGCGGACGACUGUGAACUCGUAA
rnacentral:rRNA from 1 species